UACGUAGGGGGCUAGCGUUGUCCGGAAUCAUUGGGCGUAAAGCGCGUGUAGGCGGUCCGGUAAGUCCGCUGUGAAAGUCGGGGGCUCAACCCUCGAAUGCCGGUGGAUACUGUCGGGCUAGAGUGCGGAAGAGGCGAGUGGAAUUCCUGGUGUAGCGGUGAAAUGCGCAGAUAUCAGGAGGAACACCGGUGGCGAAGGCGGCAUCCUGGACCAUUACUGACGCUGAGGCGCGAAAGCUAGGGGAGCAAACGGG
rnacentral:rRNA from 1 species